GGGUAUGUAGGCACUCUAGAUCAUGUUUUUUAUGUCAGGAGAAAUAUCAAAGGAUAGCAUUUGGAAGUUUCAUACUCCACUAAGGUAGAGGUCAGCUAAGGUGAGCUGCUCUUCCUUUUUUGAUUGGUCCAGUAAGCAUGCUUCUUAAAAGAGAUUGGUAAGGAAUCCAGUUAUCUCUAUAAAAUCUGAUGUUUUUCUCCUUUUGGGGAAUCUAUUUUUCCCUACAGUGCUAUCUUUUUAUCUUUUUUUGAUACAUUGCCAGGUCCUGGAUUACUCUUGCUCUCGUGCUAUUUCUAUUGGGGAAUUUAUAUUUAUUCAAGAGAAUUCUGCCCCAAAGG
rnacentral:lncRNA from 1 species